ACGCUGGCGGCAGGCCUAACACAUGCAAGUCGAGCGGUAGAGAGAAGCUUGCUUCUCUUGAGAGCGGCGGACGGGUGAGUAAUGCCUAUGAAUCUGCCUGGUAGUGGGGGAUAAAGUUCGGAAACGGACGCUAAUACCGCAUACGUCCUACGGGAGAAAGCAGGGGACCUUCGGGCCUUGCGCUAUCAGAUGAGCCUAGGUCGGAUUAGCUAGUUGGUGAGGUAAUGGCUCACCAAGGCGACGAUCCGUAACUGGUCUGAGAGGAUGAUCAGUCACACUGGAACUGAGACACGGUCCAGACUCCUACGGGAGGCAGCAGUGGGGAAUAUUGGACAAUGGGCGAAAGCCUGAUCCAGCCAUGCCGCGUGUGUGAAGAAGGUCUUCGGAUUGUAAAGCACUUUAAGUUGGGAGGAAGAGCAGUUACCUAAUACGUGAUUGUUUUGACGUUACCGACAGAAUAAGCACCGGCUAACUCUGUGCCAGCAGCCGCGGUAAUACAGAGGGUGCAAGCGUUAAUCGGAAUUACUGGGCGUAAAGCGCGCGUAGGUGGUUAGUUAAGUUGGAUGUGAAAUCCCCGGGCUCAACCUGGGAACUGCAUUCAAAACUGACUGACUAGAGUAUGGUAGAGGGUGGUGGAAUUUCCUGUGUAGCGGUGAAAUGCGUAGAUAUAGGAAGGAACACCAGUGGCGAAGGCGACCACCUGGACUGAUACUGACACUGAGGUGCGAAAGCGUGGGGAGCAAAC
rnacentral:rRNA from 1 species